CUCAUCGACAGGAAGGAAUCCCUUCCGGUUGAUGAGGUAUAGCUUCCUCAUCAACCGGAAGGACUCUCCUUUGGUCAAUGAGGAAGCUAAACCUCAUCAACCGGAAGGAAUUCCUUCCGGUUGAUGAG
rnacentral:miRNA from 1 species